GCGCCUGGGGACGAGGCAGAUAAGCAACUUGCCAUAUUAAAACACAAAAACAUCCAUUAUAAAUUUCCAAUAAAAAUUGUUGCACUUAAAAAAUUUUUAGUUCAGCAUCUAAACUGGAUGCAACGGUACUGCGCUUUGAUCGUAUUGAGCAUUUCGCGUCUGAUGACGCUGUUCCCUUGGCAUUGCAACAUAUCGUGGAGGGACCUCAUGUACCACUUCGUUUUGGUAAUAUUGUG